GGUCCUGCAGCACCAGGAGGGAGGCCGACCUGUCGGUGGGAUGGAUCCACAGAAGCACAGCGUUGGGUGUUUGUGAGGUGCAAGCAAGUUCAGUGAGGGGAACUGGUUCCCUUUAGGAUUUCAGCUGGGGGAUGGGCGAGGGAGAUGGCGCUGGCCAGCACCUUUGUUCCCCACAGAGCUGAGCUCCAUCUCCCAGGGCUCAACAACUGUCCCCCCUAGCUCCUCUCGCCCUCCUCACUCUCCGAGAGCAGAGCUGUUGACUCUUAACAUCUGGAAUUUUAAGUCCUGCUGCCUCUCAGAAUUCACUCUGUCCGGCCCCUCUGCUUUUGCAAGUCAGACUCGGGGGCUCUGCCUUGCUGGGCAGGCUGGCUGCCCCUCCACCGCCCCGGCUCCCUCCCGCCAGUCUGUGUAGCGCGCACUGCCUCUCUGUGCUUCCUACCCUCUUCCGAGGACCUCUUGUCUAUGCUUGGCUCUGGAGAGCCCAUUCUGCUAGUCUUGUGGCAGUUUUCUGCAUUAUUUAGGCUGAUGUGGGUGGAAUCUAAGCAAUCAGCAGGACGAGCCUGAGUAUGAAGAAAACUCCAGGGUACCAAGAGAUGGGAAAGGAACAAGAACAAGAUCCCCUUCCUGAUUCUGGUUUGCUCUCUUUUGCUCUCUGCACCACUCUUUUGCAGAGAAAAUCCACUCAUCAAGGACUGAGGGCUGACUGAAUGGCUCCUGCACACCAAAAGGUCGGCCACAGAGAGAACGGCAAGAGAAACAGAGCAUGAACUAAAACAAGCAAUAAACUGCUCUAGGUGAGGAAGGAACGGUUCUUGGCCAUUACUGUAUGCAACAAGAUGACUCACACACUAAGAGUCUAAAAAAGUGAAGAUUACCAUAUAGACCUUGUAGCUCUGAUUUUUAAAGUGUUAUUCCUUAUGUCUACAAAAUUGUGAAGUACUCUAAUUCCAACUCUUAUAUGUAUAAGACACUCAAUUUAUAUGACAUGAAAUGUCAAGUGAGUUAAGUAAUUACAGGUACAUAAUGUUCAUAGGAACACACUUUGUCAUAGUUAACAACUAGGAAAAAACAAUUAGGUGUUGAUCAAUAGAGGAGCAGAUGAAUAAGUAUUAAAAUAUAGUGUAGUCAUACAAUGGAAUGUUGCAACAGAUGAACUAGCGCUUAUGUUCCAUCAUGUAUCGAUCUUAGAUAUAGGACAUUUUUUAAAUAAAAACCAAUGUUUGAGAAAUUUUCAUAUACUGUGUUAUCACUCAUGCAAAUAAAAAUAUAUAAAAUUCUGUUGUUUAUGGAUAUUUUUGAGAAAGUUAAUGUAUAAAACAGUGAACUUUGAAAUAUAUCAAGUUCAUGGUGGUGUUUGUCACAAUGAAAGGGAGUAAAAAUUCCAAAGGAAAAGUUUUAUUUUAUUAAGUAAUAUCUGAGGCAA